GACUCUCAAAUUAAAGCUGGAAUCCUAAAUGCAAAGAAAUAAACGCUGUUUGCUAUGAAUUCUGAUUAUUUCUCUUCAAUGAGUAACCAAGAGCCAAUUUCUCAUAUAAUAGUAGUUUUGCAUACUAAGGAGAAGCAGAAUUGAUUGGGUUCCGCAGACACCAAUUUUAGCUGAAUUAAAAGAAAAAAAGGAAUGAUGGAAAAGAGAUGGAAAGGACCUCAGAAAGCACCUAAUUUAAUCCUUCAUGUUAUAGAACCAGAGGUGGUGAGAACCUUGCCUGUGAGUACACAGCAAAAUGGAUGCUCAGGGAGACCUAGGAGCUGCAUUUCAGACUUCUUGGACAGGAAAUUAAAGAGUAUAAUCAAGUUUAGUGAAGAAUAACAAAUUCUCAUGUCGACUACAGAUACUUUAUUGGAACAUGUCUCAAGUGACAGACAAGGUAAACAAUAAGAUGUCAUGGUGUUCAAGGGGAAAGAAUCAGCACAAUCUUAUUAAAAAGAGCAGUAAACUGGAAACGGAAGAUCUGGACCUGAACGACUUUCUCAGUAGGACCCCUACAGCAGGACAAAAUGUCAAGAGUUACUAAAAGGAAUGACAUAGAAUUUAAAAACUUCUGCACAGAAAAGGGAACAAUUAAGAGUAUGAAGAAAGAACCUACAGAAUUGGAGAGAAUAUUUUCUAGUUACAUUUCUGACAGAUAUUAAUACCCAACAUAUACAAAGAACUUAAAACACUUAAUACCCAAAACUUCCAGAUAACAUUUAAUAAAUGGGCAAAUGAAUUAAACAGACGCUUCUCAAAAGAAGAAAUACAAAUGUUCAACAUCAUUAGUCAUUAGGGAAAUGCAAAUCAAAACACACUAAGAUUUUUUCUCACUCCAAUUAAAACAAUAGCCAUCAAGAAUACAAAUGAUAAUAAAUGCUAGAAUGGAUGUGGCAUAGAACCACCACAUGGCCCAGGUAUACUAUAGUGAUACAUGCAUACCCAUGUUUUUAGCUGCACAAUUCACAAUAGGUAAACUAUGGAACUAGUCUAGUUGUCCAUCAAUGGAUAAAUGGAUAAAGAAAAUGUGAUAUAUAUACACAAUGGAGUUUUACUCAGCCAUGAAGAAUAAAAUUAUGCCAUUUUUAGGAAUAUGAAUGGAUCUUAAGAACAUUAUGUUAAGUGAAAUAUGCCAAACUUAGGAAGUCAAGGGUAAUAUGUUUUCUCUCAUGUGUGAAAGCUAAAAAUGAAAAAGGAAAAGAAAGUGUGGGGAAGCA